rnacentral:rRNA from 1 species
GAUGAACGCUGGCGGCGUGCAUAACACAUUCAAGUCGAACGGUGACGAGGACUUCGGUCCUCUGAUCAGUGGCGGACGGGUGAGUAACGCGUGAGCAACCUGCCCUAUAUUGCGGGAUAACAACCGGAAACAGUUGCUAAUACCGCAUGACGUAUUCGGAUCGCAUGUUCUGAAUACCAAAGAAUUUUGGUAUGAGAUGGACCCGCGUCUGAUUAGCUAGUUGGUAAGGUAACGGCUUACCAAGGCGACGAUCAGUAGCCGGCCUGAGAGGGUGAACGGCCACAUUGGAACUGAGAUACGGUCCAGACUCCUACGGGAGGCAGCAGUGGGGAAUAUUGGGCAAUGGGCGAAAGCCUGACCCAGCGACGCCGCGUGAGGGAAGAAGAUCUUCGGAUUGUAAACCUUAGUCAACAGGGAAGAAGAAAGUGACGGUACCUGUGGAGGAAGCCACGGCUAACUACGUG